GACGAACGCUGGCGGCGUGCUUAACACAUGCAAGUCGAACGGAAAGGCCCUGCUUUUGUGGGGUGCUCGAGUGGCGAACGGGUGAGUAACACGUGAGUAACCUGCCCUUGACUUUGGGAUAACUUCAGGAAACUGGGGCUAAUACCGGAUAGGAGCUCCUGCUGCAUGGUGGGGGUUGGAAAGUUUCGGCGGUUGGGGAUGGACUCGCGGCUUAUCAGCUUGUUGGUGGGGUAGUGGCUUACCAAGGCUUUGACGGGUAGCCGGCCUGAGAGGAUGACCGGCCACAUUGGGACUGAGAUACGGCCCAGACUCCUACGGGAGGCAGCAGUGGGGAAUAUUGCACAAUGGGCGGAAGCCUGAUGCAGCAACGCCGCGUGCGGGAUGACGGCUUUCGGGUUGUAAACCGCUUUCGCCUGUGACGAAGCGUGAGUGACGGUAAUGGGUAAAGAAGCACCGGCUAACUACGUG
rnacentral:rRNA from 1 species